UACGGGGGGAGCAAGCGUUGUUCGGAUUUACUGGGCGUAAAGGGCGCGUAGGCGGCACCGCAAGUGUGGGGUGAAAUCCCGACGGCUUAACCCGUCGGAACUGCCUGGCAGACUGCGGUGCUAGAGGUUGGUAGGGGAGAGCGGAACUCUUGGUGGAGCGGUGAAAUGCGUAGAUAUCAAGAGGAACACCGGUGGCGAAGGCGGCUCUCUGGUCCAAUCUGACGCUGAGGUGCGAAAGCUAGGGGAGUAAACGGG
rnacentral:rRNA from 1 species